CAAGUCGAACGAAUCCCGCCGGUGUAGCAAUACAUCGGCGGGGGAAGUGGCGAAAGGGGCAGUAAGGCGUGGGUAACCUACCCCGGGGAUGGGCAUAGCCGUUCUAACGGACGGGUAAUUCCCAGCGAUCCGGCGAGGGGGCAUCUUCUUACCGGGAAAUGAGCUUCGCCUCGGGAGGGGCCCACGUGCUAUUAGCUAGUUGGCGGGGUAACGGCCCACCAAGGCGAAGAUGGCUAGCGGGUGUGAGAGCACGACCCGCGCCACUGGCACUGAGACACUGGCCAGACACCUACGGGUGGCUGCAGUCGAGGAUCUUCGUCAAUGGGCGCAAGCCUGAACGAGCGACGCCGCGUGGGCGAUGAAGGCCUUCGGGUUGUAAAGCCCUGUCGAGGGGGACCAACCCCGGGUCACACCGGGUUGAUCGAUCCCUGGAGGAAGCACGGGCUAAGUUCGUGCCAGCAGCCGCGGUAAGACGAACCGUGCGAACGUUGUUCGGAAUCACUGGGCUUAAAGGGCGCGUAGGCGGCUCGCGAGGUCGGGGGUGAAAUCCCGCGGCUCAACCGCGGAAGGGCCUCCGAUACCGGCGGGCUGGAGGGGGGGUAGGGGUGCGCGGAACUUCUGGUGGAGCGGUGAAAUGCGUUGAUAUCAGAAGGAACGCCGGCGGCGAAAGCGGCGCACUGGACCCUUACUGACGCUGAGGCGCGAAAGCCAGGGGAGCAAACGGGAUUAGAUACCCCGGUAGUCCUGGCCCUAAACGAUGGGUACUAGGUCGUGGGCCGGUCAUGGGCUCACAGCCGAAGCAAAAGUGUUAAGUACCC
rnacentral:rRNA from 1 species